CUGUGACACUGUAGAGAGGAGCGACCACAGUCUCAACAACAGAGUGAGGAAGAGACAGAGGGAGGUGAAAUUAACAAGACGUCAUUUUGCAGGCACUCUCCCUCUCCCCCUUCAGCUGGAUACACAUCGUUGCCAUUUCCUUCAUCGGUGCCACUCAGUCUUCAUAAAAGGAGCAGCCUCUUUCUACUGUCUCCUUCCUGCUGGUUGAAGAUUCUCCAAUAAUCGCUGGCUCUCCCUUGUAACCUACACUGUUAGCCUUUGCAGUAAUUUCCAUAGCUUAGUACUGCAAAAUCAACAGUAAA